rnacentral:rRNA from 1 species
UACAGAGGGGGCAAGCGUUGUUCGGAAUUACUGGGCGUAAAGGGCGCGUAGGCGGCCUUCUAAGUCGAACGUGAAAUCCCCGGGCUCAACCCGGAAACUGCGUCCGAUACUGGAAGGCUUGAAUCCGGGAGAGGGAUGCGGAAUUCCAGGUGUAGCGGUGAAAUGCGUAGAUAUCUGGAGGAACACCGGUGGCGAAGGCGGCAUCCUGGACCGGUAUUGACGCUGAGGCGCGAAAGCCAGGGAGCAAAGCGGG